rnacentral:rRNA from 1 species
AGAGUUUGAUCCUGGCUCAGGAUGAACGCUGGCGGCGUGCCUAAUACAUGCAAGUCGAACGGGGUGCAGCAAUGUACCUAGUGGCGAUCGGGUGCGUAACACGUAGCUGACCUACCUCUUGGCGGGGGACAACAGGCCGAAAGGCUUGCUAAUACCGCAUGAUUUCGGGGGGACCAGAUAGUCCCGAAGAAACGCGAAAGUGGCCGAGAGAGGGGGCUGCGGCCCAUCAGGUAGUUGGUGAGGUAACGGCUCACCAAGCCGACGACGGGUAGGGGGCCUGAGAGGGUGACCCCCCACACUGGGACUGACAGACGGCCCAGACUCCUACGGGAGGCAGCAGUAAGGGAUAUUGGGCAAUGGGCGAAAGCCUGACCCAGCAACGCCGCGUGGAGGAUGACGGCCUUCGGGUUGUAAACUCCUUUUGUCGGGGACGAGACAAGGACGGUACCCGGCGAAGAAGUCACGGCUAACUACGUGCCAGCAGCCGCGGUAAUAC